rnacentral:rRNA from 1 species
AGGGUUCCUGUCCAACGUUAAUCGGGGCAGGGUGAGUCGACCCCUAAGGCGAGGCCGAAAGGCGUAGUCGAUGGGAAACAGGUUAAUAUUCCUGUACUUGGUGUUACUGCGAAGGGGGGACGGAGAAGGCUAUGUUGGCCGGGCGACGGUUGUCCCGGUUUAAGCGUGUAGGCUGGUUUUCCAGGCAAAUCCGGAAAACUAAGGCUGAGGCGUGAUGACGAGGCACUACGGUGCUGAAGCAACAAAUGCCCUGCUUCCAGGAAAAGCCUCUAAGCAUCAGGUAACAUCAAAUCGUACCCCAAACCGACACAGGUGGUCAGGUAGAGAAUACCAAGGCGCUUGAGAGAACUCGGGUGAAGGAACUAGGCAAAAUGGUGCCGUAACUUCGGGAGAAGGCACGCUGAUAUGUAGGUGAAGUCCCUCGCGGAUGGAGCUGAAAUCAGUCGAAGAUACCAGCUGGCUGCAACUGUUUAUUAAAAACACAGCACUGUGCAAACACGAAAGUGGACGUAUACGGUGUGACGCCUGCCCGGUGCCGGAAGGUUAAUUGAUGGGGUCAGCGCAAGCGAAGCUCUUGAUCGAAGCCCCGGUAAACGGCGGCCGUAACUAUAACGGUCCUAAGGUAGCGAAAUUCCUUGUCGGGUAAGUUCCGACCUGCACGAAUGGCGUAAUGAUGGCCAGGCUGUCUCCACCCGAGACUCAGUGAAAUUGAACUCGCUGUGAAGAUGCAGUGUACCCGCGGCAAGACGGAAAGACCCCGUGAACCUUUACUAUAGCUUGACACUGAACAUUGAGCCUUGAUGUGUAGGAUAGGUGGGAGGCUUUGAAGUGUGGACGCCAGUCUGCAUGGAGCCGACCUUGAAAUACCACCCUUUAAUGUUUGAUGUUCUAACGUUGACCCGUAAUCCGGGUUGCGGACAGUGUCUGGUGGGUAGUUUGACUGGGGCGGUCUCCUCCUAAAGAGUAACGGAGGAGCACGAAGGUUGGCUAAUCCUGGUCGGACAUCAGGAGGUUAGUGCAAUGGCAUAAGCCAGCUUGACUGCGAGCGUGACGGCGCGAGCAGGUGCGAAAGCAGGUCAUAGUGAUCCGGUGGUUCUGAAUGGAAGGGCCAUCGCUCAACGGAUAAAAGGUACUCCGGGGAUAACAGGCUGAUACCGCCCAAGAGUUCAUAUCGACGGCGGUGUUUGGCACCUCGAUGUCGGCUCAUCACAUCCUGGGGCUGAAGUAGGUCCCAAGGGUAUGGCUGUUCGCCAUUUAAAGUGGUACGCGAGCUGGGUUUAGAACGUCGUGAGACAGUUCGGUCCCUAUCUGCCGUGGGCGCUGGAGAACUGAGGGGGGCUGCUCCUAGUACGAGAGGACCGGAGUGGACGCAUCACUGGUGUUCGGGUUGUCAUGCCAAUGGCACUGCCCGGUAGCUAAAUGCGGAAGAGAUAAGUGCUGAAAGCAUCUAAGCACGAAACUUGCCCCGAGAUGAGUUCUCCCUGACUCCUUGAGAGUCCUGAAGGAACGUUGAAG